rnacentral:rRNA from 1 species
AACGAACGCUGGCGGCGCGUCUUAAGCAUGCAAGUCGAACGGCAAGGCAGGUGCUUGCACCUGCCCUAGAGUGGCGGACUGGUGAGUAACACGUGGGUGACAUGCCUUUAGUUGGGGAUAGCUACUAGAAAUAGUAGAUAAUACCGAAUGUGAUCAAUAUUUAUAGAUGAUGUUGAGGAAAGGAGCUAAGGCUUCGCUAAAAGAUUGGCCCGCGGCCCAUUAGCUAGUUGGUAGGGUAAAGGCUUACCAAGGCGAUGAUGGGUAUCCGGCCUGAGAGGGUGAUCGGACACAUUGGGACUGAGAUACGGCCCAGACUCCUACGGGAGGCAGCAGCUAAGAAUAUUCCACAAUGGACGAAAGUCUGAUGGAGCGACGCCGCGUGGAUGAUGAAGGCCGAAAGGUUGUAAAAUCCUUUUACACUGGAGGAAUAAGCAGAGUAGGGAAUGACUCUGUGAUGACUGUACAGUUUGAAUAAGCAACGGCUAAUUACGUGCCAGCAGCCGC